rnacentral:rRNA from 1 species
UGGGGAAUAUUGCACAAUGGGGGAAACCCUGAUGCAGCGACGCCGCGUGAGCGAAGAAGGUUUUCGAAUCGUAAAGCUCUGUCCUAUGGGAAGAUAAUGACGGUACCAUAGGAGGAAGCCCCGGCUAACUACGUGCCAGCAGCCGCGGUAAUACGUAGGGGGCAACCGUUGUCCGGAAUCACUGGGCGUAAAGGGUUCGCAGGCGGAAAUGCAAGUCAGUUGUGAAAGGCAGAGGCUCAACCUCUGUAAGCAAUUGAAACUGUAUUUCUUGAGAUGUGGAUAGGCAAGUGGAAUUCCUAGUGUAGCGGUGAAAUGCGUAGAUAUUAGGAAGAAUACCGGUGGCGAAGGCGACUUGCUGGACACAAACUGACGCUGAGGAACGAAAGCGUGGGUAGCAAACAGG